CUAAUCGCAAUUCAGACGCUAAUUAGUUUAUGGAAUUCCAAGGAACCAGACGGAAUGUUGCAAAUUACAAAAGUAUUCAUUGUAAGAGGGGACCUUAAUAUACCGUUGACUAGAAGUCUAGAACUGAUCUGGAAACUAUAAUGUUGCAUGAAACGCAGGAAUUAAUGUGACUGGACAUUGGAAAGCCUUCCCCGUCCGUUGAUCAAAGGAUUGCGCCAUGUCAAAUGGUGGCGAAUACAAAUGGAGUGAAGC